AUUGAACGCUGGCGGCAGGCCUAACACAUGCAAGUCGAACGAGUGGCGGACGGGUGAGUAAUGUCUGGGAAACUGCCUGAUGGAGGGGGAUAACUACUGGAAACGGUAGCUAAUACCGCAUACCAUCGGAUGUGCCCAGAUGGGCGUAGCUUGUUGGUGGGGUAACGGCUCACCAAGGCGACGAUCCCUAGCUGGUCUGAGAGGAUGACCGUCCACACUUGAAAUGAGCCCCGUGCCAGACUCCGACGGGAGGCAGGAGUGGGGAAUAGUGCACAAGUGGCGCAAGCCGGAUGCAGCCAUGCCGCGUGUAUGAAGAAGGCCUUCGGGUUGUAAAGUACUUUCAGCGGGGAGGCGUUACCCUCAGAAGAAGCACCGGCUAACUCCGUGCCAGCAGCCGCGGUAAUAC
rnacentral:rRNA from 1 species